UCCUCUUUCCCUUCUCAUCUUCUAUCUAAAAACCUAAUUUCAAAAUCCUCAAUCGUAUGUUUCCAUCUCCAUGAUCUGAUACAGCCAAAUGUUUGUUAUGCUGUCGCAGGGGAUUCACCAAGUUCAGCCGUACAGAUUAUUUGCAGUGGAAAUCUGAAAAUCGUAUCGUCUUUGAUGGUGUUAACGCCAAGGUCUGCAGGGAUAAACAUAAGCAGCCUCGGAUUUGGCAGGAUGUUAGUCAUGUCAAGGGGUGAGUUUUGUGCUUAAAGACGCUCCCUCGCAUAUCGUGAAUGAUCUUCCGUUAAAGCUCCAAGGUUUUGUCCUCAAAAUCAGUGAAAGGCAGAUAUAAAUAACACAAAGGCUUAAGAAGUUGGAAGAGAACUCAGAGUAAUCAAAGUUUGUCCUCCAAGGUUUUGUCCUCGCAACUAUAUUAAACUACAGAUACAAAGAGUUUCCUUGGCUUUGGCCGGCUAGCUGAAGAGUAAAAGAAAUAGAAAUGAUGAUUGCCAUUUGCACAAAAGUAAAAAAUGUAAGUCAUAGUCAUGUUACUCUUUCAUUGCCAUUUGUAAACUCAGUUUUUCUUUGAUUGUGGAAGCGGCUGGUGUACACUUCCAUGGAGUGGUUCUCAUGUAAAUAUUCCCACUUCACAGUUUUUGAUUUAGUUUUAUAAUAUUUUUAUA